UACGAAGGGGGCUAGCGUUGUUCGGAAUUACUGGGCGUAAAGGGCGCGUAGGCGGUGUGUCAAGUCAGGCGUGAAAGCCCCGGGCUCAACCUGGGAAUUGCAUUCGAGACUGAAUAGCUAGGGUACGGUAGAGGGAAGCGGAAUUUCCGGUGUAGCGGUGAAAUGCGUAGAUAUCGGAAGGAACAUCAGUGGCGAAAGCGGCUUCCUGGACCAGUACCGACGUUCAGGCACGAAAGCGUGGGGAGCAAACAGG
rnacentral:rRNA from 1 species